CUUGUUCUUGGCAUGCUUCCUUUUGCAAUCCAGCCACAAUGCUGUGAGGAGCCCAGGAUAUUCGGGUAGACCAGCCCCGCUGAGCUUUCAGCCUACAGCCAGGAUCAAUGACCAAGUUUUGAGUGAGCCAUCUUGUCUAUUCCAGCCCAUUUGAAUCCUCAGGUGACUGCAGUCCUAGCCAACAUCAUGUGGAGCAGUAGAACUGAUCAGAAAGGUGGAUGGAGUUUUGAAACAGAUGCACAUAGGAGAAGGUGAUGUAAAGAUGGUGGCAAAGAUAAAGUGCUGUGGUUACAAACUAAGGAAUGCCAAGGAUUUCUGAUACACACCAGAAGCUGAAAGAGACUCACGUCACUGAAAAGGUCACUUACUCUAUCACAAAACAGAAAUUAUUUGUGAUGAUUUUAACCCUCAUGUAAAGAACACUGUAUUUAUUGCUGUCCCUGAUCUUCAAAGAUAAGGUUGAUAAUGAUGAUUACCAUCUCCUUGUUUCUGAAGAAAAAAGACCUAGAAGAGAACAAUAGCUCUUUCCAUGAACAAGCAUAAAUUUUUAUUAUAGCAAUAAAAAAGUAACUAUUUAACAGACAUAAUGUGAAUCUGCUACAAUUUUCAAAAGGUUUUAUUCUCAGUUUAUGCCACAUUCUAGUCUUUAAUUUUAAAUUUUAAAUUGAGUAAGUCUGCAAUUCAAGAUACCUGAGAUUUAUCUACCUAAUCUGAAUAUUAUAUAAUUUAAUGUAACAUUAUAUGCCAACAUCUCAGUGAGUAAAAAACUCAGAAGAAAACAUCCACAAAUCUUCACCACUUCAUCCCUCAGAUACUUGAAUCUGUUCCCACCUAAUCUUUCUUCCCACUGGUUAAAAUGGAUGAACUCUUUGUUCAUCCCUUGCUCUUAGCAAAUGCCAGCUCCUCCAUUUGCUUUCUAAUCUCAUCUACUCUCUCCAACACAAGAACACUGCUUCCACAAUACUCACUUCUCUCUCCUACAUCAUCUGUUUUCUCCCCCAUCUGAAUUUUUCCAUCAACAUAUAAAAAUGUUGUUCUCCUAUCUAAAGAAAAGGCCUCUCGCCAUCAUUACUCAUUUCCUCCUUCAGUAAACACUCCAUAUACUUCUUUCUCUUUAGAGGAAAACUCCUCAGAAGAUUGUCUCUGCAAAUUCUGUCUUAAAUCCACUCUGUUCAAGAUUUUCUCCCACUACCCGCUGAAGCUGUUGCUGUUGAUAACCUUCAUUCUGGUCAAUUCAAUGGCCACUUCUCAGUUCUUGUAUUACUUGAUCCCUCAGCAGCUUUCCACACAACUGGUCACACUCACUCUGCUGGUAAACAUUUUCUUUGCUUCCAGGUCACUACAAUCCCAGUUGUCUUCCUUCUUUUUGGCCCUACUUUUUAUUCUACUCUGAAGUUUCCUCUUCAUCUCUCCAACAACUGCUGAAUGUUGAAAUACCCAAGGCUCAAUCCUUGUAUAUCUUUUGUGUCCUCACUAAUUCCCUUUCAUCCAGUCUCUAUUAUAACUCAUGUUUCCCAGUAUGGCCUGAACUUCUCCCCUAUGCCCUCAGGUCCAACUACACAACAUAUCUCCACACGGAUGUCUAAGAGACAUUUCAGUUUACCAUAUUCAAAACUGACCUCCUCAUCUCUAUCCUCUCUGCAAAUCUGCUCUUCCCAUGUCUGUUAAGGGCAACUCCCUAACUUGUAGUAGUUCAGAGAAAAUGCUUUACAAAGUUUUCUCCCACAAUUCACGUUGAAACCACAGCAAAUACCAUUAGCUCUACCUUCCAGAUACAUCUAGAAUCAACUACUUCCCACUAUUUCCCCCAUUAGUCACUAUUCCAAGGCCCCUGAAUUAUUGCCACUAGCCUCCUCUGGUUUCUCUGCUUCCACCCUUUCUCCCCUUUAGGUUCUUCUCAACACUGAUAAAAUAUGUCAGAUCAUGCACAAUUCUCAAAAUCCUCCAGUAGCCCUUUAUCUCACUUAGAGACAAGUCUAAGUAAUUGCAACAGCUACAAGUUCCUAUGAAGUUUGGCUCCCUGUGCUUUUGUGAUCUUAUCUUCUACAAUCCCAUGUAUUUACUGUGCUCUAAUCACACUGGCCCCGUUUACGUGGCUUGAAUUUGCUAGGCAUUCUCCCACUUCAGGGCCUUCAUAAUUGCUAUUUUCUUUCCUGGAAUCCUCAUUUGCUACGUAACCCCAUGGCAAGUUUCCUUCAGCUCCUCCCAGUUUUAACUCAUAUAUUAUCUUCUCAGAGUGUUCUUCCCUGAGCAUCCUAUUUAAAAUUGCAAUAGUCCCCUGGAACACCCUCUGUCCCCUUCCCUUGGUUUAUUUCUCUUUAGCAUCAUUAUAAUUUAACAUACUGCAUAAUUUACUUAGUUUAGUUUCAUUUCUGUCUCCCACACUUCACUUUGCAAGUUCCAAGAGGGUGAGUUUUUUAGUGUUAUUUACUCCUAUCGACCUGAUGCCCAGAGAGUUGUUUCAAAUAUUAUAGGGGUUCAAUAAAUAUUUGUGAAAUAAUUAUGUAAGUAAGGAGUAGAGUCCAUGGCGAUUAAAAGCACAGAUUUCAGUGUUAGGAAGACCUGGAUAUGAAUUCCUGCUCUGCCUCUUACUAAGUAACUUACCUUGAACAAGUAAUUUUUCUUAGCCCCAGUUUACUGAUUAUAAAAUGGAUACAAUGAUACUUAGCACUCAAAAUUAUUUUUAUAAGCUGGAAAGGAAAUAAUAAAAUUUAAGCAAAAUAAAAGAGAAAACAUCACUUUUGCAGUGAUUCAUAGUCACUAUCAAUAAUGAGUAAUAAAAUGAGAUUGUCCAAAUAUAUAUGAUAAAUUGUAAUUGCUCUAAUUGACCACUAAGUUAAUUAUUUUAAUCAUUUCAAAUUUACUCAAAAAUUAUUUUUUACUUUAUAGUGCCAUUUGAUACUCAUUAAAAGAUGAUUAAGAAAAUUACAGUACAUUUCUCACAAGUUUUGAAUUAUAAAAUGUAGUUUUAUAAAUAAAAUAGUUUUUUAGAUAUACUUUCCAUAAAGAGUUCCAUGUUCAAUUUUAAAAUGUAAUUAUAGUAUUCAACAAAGACAUUUUAAAAUAAUAAAUUUAGAUGUUAAUCAUUUUGGUUAGCUCCAAACUUACAAUGAGCUUUAUUUUAUUUAUUUAUUUUUUUUGCAGUACGUGGGCCUCUCACUGUUGUGGCCUCUCCUGUUGCGGAGCACAGGCUCUGGAUGCGCAGGCUCAGCAGCCAUGGCUCACGGGCCCAGCCGCUCCGUAGCAUGUGGGAUCUUCCUGGACAGGGGCAUGAACCCGUGUCCCCUGCAUCGGCAGGCAGACUCUCAACCACUCAACCAGGGAAGCCCACAAUGAGCUUUAUUUUAAAGUUGGUCCUCAUUUUGUCUGAUGGUCCAAGGCUAUCGAUCUUACAGCAGAAAUUUCUCCCACCAUUCUACUUACCCAUAGGAUUUUCCCACCAACCUACCUUCAUUUUCAUUGUAAAGAGACUGCACUUGACAAAACCCAAUAUUGGCUCUGUUCCCAGAUACAUGGAUUUCUACUUUUCUUAAAUUUCUCUGUCUCCUUACCUUCCAGUAUUCACAAUGACUAUCACCAACUUAAGCUCCAGGAAAAUCAAAUACAACUCUAUUCCACAAAAACACUGAGGCCCCUUGAUCUGGUCUACUCCUCUUAUUAGAUAAUUGGAAAAAUGAAGCACAAGACAUAUCAAGUGGUUCAAGUUCACAAAGCUAGUCUAUGAAAAAGUUGGACCUUGAAUCCAUUUUGCCAAAUAGCCAACCACCUGUUUUGUUUGGAGAUUUUUUUUUUUUUACUUUACUAUAUAGCCUCAACUAUCUUCUCAGCUUUACUCUAAAGCCAAACAUCUUAACUGUUAUCUUAACACAUAUAUGUAUGGUUCUAACAAACAUUUUACUGUUGUUGAAUAAUGUGACUGGAAUAUUCCAUGUGUGACUGAAUAUUGCUUUCUGGCUAUCUAUCUUAUAGUUUUAUGUUAUUGGUAUGGAAAAAGCCUGGGAAAUGUAAAUACUCUUCAGUUAUUAAGCAUUUUAACUUACAUUUUAAACUGUAAUGUAAAAAUAAGUUGGAUGUCCAACAAUUAGUUGUUUGAACUUUUUAAUAAUUAUUAUUUUUAUGGGGUAUCUUAUACUUGCCAACCAAUGUUCUAAGAACAAAAAUACAUGCUCUGGGCCAGAUCCCAACAGAACAUGAACUUGAAUGGAGGUCUAACUCCAGCCCUUUCCAUUUGCUGCAGUAAUACUUAACUUGUUUACUUACCAGGAAGAACAUUGUCUACUUUCUAUGUGAAGAAGGAUUUUAAAAUGCAAUCAAAUAUAUUCAUUUCUCUCUUCCCUUUGUGCCUCAAAAUACUGAACUCAUAGCUCACCUCUAAACAAACUUUUUCCAAGAUUUCUGGUUCAGAUUAUGUUAGAUGGUCUCAUAAUUUGAAAGAGAUGUCUUUUUAAAAAAUACUAUUGUAACUUUUAUCCUAAAGUACAUGAUAUUUGUGUCUAAUUUUGACUCCAAGCAAAGCAGUUUGUUCCUAAGUAAUGCUGCCAGCUAUGUAAACUGUUAACUAGACAUCAGAGGAUCUGUGUAUUCAGCAAUAGUACCUUUGUGGAAGAGAAAGUAACCUUCCAUCUCUUUUUGCACCAAUACUGGUACAGUAAAUAUAUUAAAAUUGGCUAGUGUUGGUCUCUAUUUCAAAUAAAGUUUGUUAUGCAGAAAUGA